GACGAACGCUGGCGGCGUGCUUAACACGUGCAAGUCGAACGGAAAGGCCCUGCUUUUGUGGGGUGCUCGAGUGGCGAACGGGUGAGUAACACGUGAGUAACCUGCCCUUGACUUUGGGAUAACUUCAGGAAACUGGGGCUAAUACCGGAUAGGAGCUCCUGCUGCAUGGUGGGGGUUGGAAAGUUUCGGCGGUUGGGGAUGGACUCGCGGCUUAUCAGCUUGUUGGUGGGGUAGUGGCUUACCAAGGCUUUGACGGGUAGCCGGCCUGAGAGGGUGACCGGCAACAUUGGGACUGAGAUGGGGCGAAGCCUACUAGGGGGGGCAGAAGGGGGGAAUAUGGAAAAGGGGGGGGAAGCUUAAUGCAGAAACGCCGGGGGGGGGAGGACGGCUUGGGGGUGGAAACCCGUUUGCGCCGGGGAAGAAGGGGGAGGGAGGGUAAGGGAUAAAGAAGCACCGGCUAACAAGGUC
rnacentral:rRNA from 1 species